UUUUUGCGUUAGGGAUUACAGCGGUAUACUUUUUUUCUUUUUCUGAAAAAGAGAUUUAGCGGAAAGCCCGACAUCAU
rnacentral:sRNA from 1 species